CAUGGCUAUUUGGGUUGAUUGGCAGUUGCCAUUCUUUAGAAUUAUUGUUUUGAUUGACAGGCAGGCCGUUGUCAAGGAGAAGGGCGAGUCUCGCGGCGUCUCCAGGGGAAGCCCCCUCCCUCCCUGCUGCAUUACUUUCAACCAGCUCUGCUUUCAACAGCUUCAUUACUGCGAUGGGUUAUUUAAUUUUGGUACACUUUCCCCACAAAUAUGCGUUGUUGUACUUUUGGAUGUACUUCUCCGUACUCUGUAAGGACCUCUGCAGUUUUGGCAAACAACAAACCACACUUCACCUGGAAAACAGAGCCAGGACUCACUGUCAGAUGUCUGAAAAUGUACAGUAGGCUACACGCCAGCAGGUCUCACCAUAGUCAACAUCAUCAAGGAUUGUCACUCCGACCUGAGAAGAGGCCCCAUAGAGACACGGACAAGGACCAGCCACUGUUGCCAGUGCACAACUGAGGACCCGACCAGCCUGCUGCCAUCUAUGAUACUAUAUAGUACCCGGUAUGUAACAUUACACUACACUCAGCCAAUGCUUUCAUCCAAAGCUUAUCACUUAUUUUUACAUGUGCCUCCCAAUUUGAAGGGACAAAAAGUAAUUGGACUGGAUAAAAGUAUACAUCAAGCGUAGUAAACUCUUAGCAUUUUGUCAGUAGCAGAGAUG